rnacentral:rRNA from 1 species
UCAGGUAGGACCACCGCCUGAACUUAAGCAUAUCAAUAAGGCGAGGAACAGAAGCCAACGGGGAUUCCCUCAGUAAUGGCGAAUGAAGCGGGAAAAGCUCAAGUUUGAAAUCCGAUUGGGCGACCAUCGGAGUUGUAAGCUGAAGAGGUGUCGGCCGACGCGGUCCGGGCCCAAUUUCCUUGGAACAGGAGGUCAUGGAGGGUGAGAACCCCGUCUGUGGCUCGGGUGCCGUCGUCCAUGUGCUGUGCCCUCGAAGAGUCGGGUUGUUUGGGAAUGCAGCUCAAAAUGGGUGGUAAAUUUCAUCUAAAGCUAAAUACUGGCGAGAGACCGAUAGGAAACAAGUAGAGUGAUCGAAAGAUGAAAAGUACUUUGAAAAGAGAGUGAAACAGUGCGUGAAAUUGUUGAAAGGGAAGCGUUUGGCAUCAGCCCGUGGCUGUCGUCGAUCAUCCGAGCUUCUGCUCGGUGCACUCGAUUGCGGCCGGGCCAGCGUCGGCUUCGCCCGUCGGAGAAAGGCCUUGGGGAUGUGUCCGCCCUCGGGCGGCGUUACAACCCGGGGUGUCAUGCGACGGGCGGGGCCGUG